rnacentral:rRNA from 1 species
AUUGAACGCUGGCGGCAGGCCUAACACAUGCCAGUCGAGCGGAUGAAGGGAGCUUGCUCCUGGAUUCAGCGGCGGACGGGUGAGUAAUGCCUAGGAAUCUGCCUGGUAGUGGGGGAUAACGUCCGGAAACGGGCGCUAAUACCGCAUACGUCCUGAGGGAGAAAGUGGGGGAUCUUCGGACCUCACGCUAUCAGAUGAGCCUAGGUCGGAUUAGCUAGUUGGUGGGGUAAAGGCCUACCAAGGCGACGAUCCGUAACUGGUCUGAGAGGAUGAUCAGUCACACUGGAACUGAGACACGGUCCAGACUCCGACGGGAGGCAGCAGUGGGGAAUAUUGGACAAUGGGCGAAAGCCUGAUCCAGCCAUGCCGCGUGUGUGAAGAAGGUCUUCGGAUUGUAAAGCACUUUAAGUUGGGAGGAAGGGCAGUAAGUUAAUACCUUGCUGUUUUGACGUUACCAACAGAAUAAGCACCGGCUAACUUCGUG